UAGGGAAUCUUCGGCAAUGGACGGAAGUCUGACCGAGCAACGCCGCGUGAGUGAAGAAGGUUUUCGGAUCGUAAAGCUCUGUUGUAAGAGAAGAACGAGUGUGAGAGUGGAAAGUUCACACUGUGACGGUAUCUUACCAGAAAGGGACGGCUAACUACGUGCCAGCAGCCGCGGUAAUACGUAGGUCCCGAGCGUUGUCCGGAUUUAUUGGGCGUAAAGCGAGCGCAGGCGGUUAGAUAAGUCUGAAGUUAAAGGCUGUGGCUUAACCAUAGUACGCUUUGGAAACUGUUUAACUUGAGUGCAAGAGGGGAGAGUGGAAUUCCAUGUGUAGCGGUGAAAUGCGUAGAUAUAUGGAGGAACACCGGUGGCGAAAGCGGCUCUCUGGCUUGUAACUGACGCUGAGGCUCGAAAGCGUGGGGAGCAAACAGGAUUAGAUACCCUGGUAGUCCACGCCGUAAACGAUGAGUGCUAGGUGUUAGACCCUUUCCGGGGUUUAGUGCCGCAGCUAACGCAUUAGGCACUCCGCCUGGGGAGUACGACCGCNGNUU
rnacentral:rRNA from 1 species